UACGGAGGGUGCAAGCGUUAUCCGGAAUCACUGGGUUUAAAGGGUGCGUAGGCGGCGAGGUAAGUCAGUUGUGAAAUCGCUGGGCUUAACCCAUGCAAUUGCGAUUGAUACUGCUUUGCUUGAAACAGGUUGAGGUAAGCGGAAUGUGGCAUGUAGCGGUGAAAUGCAUAGAUAUGCCAUAGAACACCGAUUGCGAAGGCAGCUUGCUGGGCCUUGUUUGACGCUGAGGCACGAAAGCGUGGGGAGCAAACAGGAUUAGAUACCCUGGUAGUCCACGCCCUAAACGAUGUUUACUUGCUGUUCCUGAUUCGUUGGGAGUGGCGGAGCGAAAGCGAUAAGUAAACCACCUGGGGAGUACGCCGGCAACGGUGAA
rnacentral:rRNA from 1 species